UAUUUUGGCAAAACAGACGACAAAGAAGUCCACUAUCGACUGUGCUCUAAAAUGCUUUGAAAAAAUACUACUAACAUGUUUCAGCAUUUAAAGUUGAAGCAUGUCAAAGAGUUUGCAACUCUCAAGGUGGUAAGCAAGAAUGAUAGAAGACAAGAUUACGACAGGCUGAGCGUUCACGACCAACGAAUGGGAAUAGGCAACAGAAGAAUUGUCAAAUAGAAAACGGAAAUGUUAAACAUAGUGAACCAAAUUGAAUAAUGUGCAGAUAAAAUAUCACAAUGAACGUAAUUCUUAAAAUCUUCAUUUAUAAAAUGAUCUAAUAUAAUCAUGCAUAUUUAUAAUUAAAAUUAUAUGUUUUGUUACAAAAAGUUCGCCAUUUUGCCAACUUUUUUGUUGGUUUUAAAAGUGAGAAAAAAAUCUUUAUAGACGACUUUUUUGUACUAUUGUUGUUUAAUUCCGCCAUUGCGGACUUCUUUUUCAAAUUAAUACAUUUUUCACUUAAAAUUUUAAAUAAUAAUUAAGCACAAGCCUUGACUUCAGAUCUUUGUUUUGGUUUUAUUGUUUUGUACCACAGUGCAAUUUUGUUUUGCUCGCGUGUUUGUGGUCGUGAAACUUGUCACUCAACAGGAACUCAAAACUCAAAAUAACUAUGUAACUGUAAACGCCUGUCGUAAUCUUGUCUUCUAUCAUUCUUGGUGGUAAUUUUCUCAAUUUUCAUUAAUACUACGUUCGGACCGACAUUGAAAAUAUGUUUUCACUGAAAAAAUGGGUUUUCGUUGGAAAACUUGUGUUUUCAUCCAUGCAAAAUUUGUCAAACGAAAUCACAGUUUUCGCUGAAAACUUCUUGAAAAUUUACAUUCCACUCAUUAUAAUCGAUGUCUGCUCUAGUUUAGUCGAUAUUAUUGGAAGACUUAUUUUGCUAGCUCUAAAUUGUCUUUUGAUAUUGUAAACAAAUUCCACUACUUUUCAAAAUAAUAAAGAAACAGAAAUAAAAAUAAGAAAGGAAGGGUUAGCCCUUCGUUCGCGUGUGACCGAACAUUUUAUACUUUCGCAAAUUAUUUGUUUAAUGUUAUUAAGCGCGUCUUCUUUUCUUUUCUCGAAUAGUGACUUUUUAUAUAUCAACAUUAUACACAGUACUUCAUUACCGUUUUGAAUGUGCUCCAUUUUUUACAUGAUUAAAGAACCAAAAAAAAAAUCACCUUAUUAUGCUGGUCAUCUCUCACUGACAAUUUCAUAACUAGAGUACAGGGCAGAAUAAAUUCAAACAUUUUUUGAGAAAAAAACCUUUUUAAAAUUACAUGCAACUGGACUUAUGUAUUGGGCAAAAAUCAUUAAAUGAAAGAUGGUGUAAUUCCUAAAGUUUCAUUAAUAUAUCAGAAGUUUUACUCAAGUAAACGCUUGUACAGACAGACGGAUUUUAACUCGUCUCGUCAUCCUGAUCAUUUUGAUUUUUAUAACCCUAUAUCAGCCUCGACCAGCUCCUACUAUUUUUAGUCUUCGUUUUUCACACCUACAGUUGAGCGAUCGUUUUUUCACACCAACAUGCCCGAAGCUUCGCAGCAGAACAAGCGAAAACAAAUCAGUUGCUGUCUGUAUUUUGAACAAGCAACACCUUACUCGUUCGCUAAAGCAAAUCAGACACUCGCUACGGCAAAAAUUUGUUCUUGCACUGAGCAAAAAAAUGUUCCAAUUUUUUAUGUAUGAAAAUGAAAAUAAUCUUGCGCAAUGUAUGUUGUGCAAGAGUACUUUUAAGAGUAAUCUCUUUUCAAUUUAGAAAAGCAUUUUUUAAAUUCUUAUCAAGAUAUUUCUAAUAUAGAAAUUUCCGAAAGAGAAAACAAAUUAGCGAAUUAAAAAAAAAUGAACAUUUACAAAGCAAAGAUACUGAAGAAAAGGGUAAACAAAAGAAAAAGGCGUCGUUUAUAGUUACUCUUUAUUUAGCGGAAAAAGGACGCCCAUUUGAUGAUGGGGUUUUUUUUUAAAUUUGGGCUCUGAGUUUCUUUGUUAGCAGCUCUAAGGAGUCUACAAAGGAGCGUAACUGUGCCAUUGGGGAGCGGUUUGGAGUUUUGGAAGAAUCUGAAUCCAACUUUAUAUAAGAACACAAUAAACGAGAUCUACAAGCUUUAUUCUAUGUUUUAUUCAACCUACAACUGUGAUGCUGCCUUUUCCAAUCUUAAAAUAAUCCAAAAUAAAUAUAGAAACCACCUAAUAGUAUUUUUACAUAUAAAAAUAAUCUUGUUCUAAGCUCGUUCAAUAAUCUAACCGUUUACAUAUAGCCAAAUGAGAUUAUCAAUUGUCAAAUGUGUUGCAUUUGUUGUUGUAUUACACAUAUUUCUCUCGCUGUCGGUCAUUGUAGUUUACAUUUUCAUUUCUCCUUUUCUUCGCAAAAUUAUCGAUAAACCUAGGAAUAACACCGAAAAUCCAGUUGUAUAAAACGAGAUAAUUUUAUAAUCUCAGAUUAUCCAGAGAGGAAUUCUGUAUGGGAAAUCUCGUUUCUUAAUUACACACAACAAGUCAUGGUUACUGAAACUCCAAUACAUUCAAAGAAAUUUUAAUAACACCACUACAUACACACAUAAGAAACAAAGGGUAAAAUGUGCUUAAACAUUUAACUCAACUCUUCUCUCAUACAGCACCCUGAAUGAUAGAAAGAAACAACCAAAGUUCUCGUGUUUGAACAAGUUUUGUUUUGCGUUAUAUCAUGGCUGCUUGUGAAGUAUUAUUUUGCGUGUUUUAUUUAAUUAAGUGAUCUGCAGCCUAAUUAAAGUUUACAUUUUUGAAGCACGCAUUUUUAAAUAAGUAAAACGUAAAAUAAAAGUUUUCUAAAGCCAAAAUAUGGAACUGAAAAGGGUGAUACAGAAAUACUUCAUUGCACUGUCAAUUCGAAGCACGCAAUAGAAGCUACGCCAACAAUGGUCAACAUCAAUGGCGAAACCAUUGAAUACAUAUUUCAACCUCAUAUGGCGCGUUAAAGGUACGCAAACUUAUUGGUGUCACUUAUUGUAGCAGCGUAGAACUUUCGAAGCGAUGGAAUAUGUGCUGCAAGCAAAUGGAUACAAACGAUGCUACAUGGACCACAAAUCAUUUACACACCAAAUAUUAGGUUUAAUGUCACUUUUUUACGUGCAAUUAAACCUUUUGGUCAACACAAGCACGGGAAGAAUUGGAACGACAUGUUUUAGGUGCUUUUGUAACCGUGUUACAUCGCGACGUAUGUCAACCAGAGAGCAGCUUCGGGUAUGUUCAAGUGUGUUCAAUCACACUAGCUUAAAUUCGGUACGAGUGUGUCGAAACACUCUUCAAACACGUGUUCGAUCGAGUUUGGAACCCGAAGCGAAAAUAACGCAAACGAACAAUCACGACGGUCCUAUUUUCGAGUGCAAGCAGCAAACUCGAAUUUUAUGUAUAUUAUAUUUUCGGCUGUGUCGUGCACGUGUUGAUUGUGAUCGAAACACUCGAGUGGCACUCGAAGACCAAAAAAUAAUAGAUAAACAUACGUACACACAUAUGUAUGUAUGUUUGUUGGCGUCGGGAUGUCGCGUUCUGUCUUAGCUUUUUUGGUUGAAUAAUUUGAAUAUUAGACGUACAUAGUACAUAUUAUAAAAGAAUAAUUCAAUUUAAGAAUAGAAUUCACUCAAAACUUAUUUUAUUUAUUAAUUCAUAAAUCAUAAAUAAAAAACAUUUCAUUGCACUUAAAUAUUUUAAUUUUUUUUUAAUCACAAAUUUCAGGUGUAGACCAGAUAAGGUGUUUGUGCAAUUGGAAAUGUUCUCACAACCCGAAUUUUCUAUCGUUGUCAUUAUGAAUUAUAAAAAGUAAACAAAACAAACAAAACCAAUAAUCGUUGACAAUCACUACGCAAUAAUAGCAUGACUGCCAAUUACAUACAUACAUAUUCUGAAAUUUUGUGCACACUCGUGUGUGACUCGAUCACAUUCAAUACGAUCGGGUUAGAGUGCCAGCUCGUUCACAAACGAGUGUCAACUCGGCACUCUGUUAAAACAAGCAUAGACCGUUUUCACACGGGCAAUUUUUGUCGCGGCAAUUCUUAGUUUUAUAGGAGAGGGGGCGACGAAGAGAAGAGAAUUUCUCUCUCUCUAGCUUCCCUUGGUCGCCCCCUCUCCUAUAAAACUAAGAAUUGCCGCGACAAAAAUUGCCCGUGUGAAAACGGUCAUAUAUGCUUGUGUUUCGAGUGUCGCGAAAGGCUCGCCAAAUCAAUACGUGUAUUCAUACCGAAAACUUUGAUCAAACAAAAUCAGAGUGGACAUUCGAGUGUGCACGAAAAUGAUAUACCCGUUGCAGCUCUGAUGUCAACUGGGUUUUGCCAAUGAUCUAGAGGGCAAAGCAGUGGCAGUAUUUUUACCGGCACCUCAGUUGGUCGUGCCAUUAGCAGCUAAAGCACAGAAAUUAAAGGGAGGACUUUUUUGAUUCAUUUACACCAUGUAUUGAGGAAUCAUAACGUUGUUGUAUCGCUUUACAAGGACAUAAAUUCACCGAAAUUAGCUCAAUGAAAAUACUACAGCAAAAGCAUGGAUGUUAAGACUUGAACGGUGCCGUGCUAGAUUUAGAUUUCCUGAAACAUAAGAAACCCUCCUCCCAGAUGAAUAUAGUACUAGUAAAAUUAAUGAAAGAAGAGAUCUUACAAAAAGUCCUAAAGAAACCAAAAUAGUCCUCACAUAAUGUGCGCAGCUUACACUUCCAGGCCGCUCGGGGUAUUUGACAUUUGCCACUCUUCCUCCAGCCUUUGUCAGAUAGCAAAAAUUGUUCAAAUAUUCAAUAGGUUUACAUAUGUAUAUAGUGUAGUACGAUAAUACAUUUAUAAAGUAAAUAUAAUAAUAAACACCUAAAUGGCAUGAUAUUUUAAAUAAAUAUGAAAUAUAAUUAAUGAUUUUGUUAUUAAAUUCUCAUUUGGGAUUUUGGUAGAACUGACCGAAAAUAAUCGGGUAUAGUUUCUGGGCUUUUGUGGAUCGCAGUACUGAAAGUGCACGUGCAGUUUUGGUUCGCAGUUUUGGCUCUUUCAUCCGUGAUAGUACCAAGAACAGUACUGGAAGUGCACAUGUUGUUUUGGUUCGCAGUUUUGGGUCUAUCAUCCGUGAUUGUACCAAUACCAUUCCACAAAUUGUGCAAGAGGUAUAUAUACAUCGCUAAAUGAUGAAUGUAAUGUGCAAGAAAGGGAUGAACGAUCUCACGUACACAAGAGUUUCGUGUACUUUUGUCAAUUCGCCCUUAAGAAUGGCAUAGAAACUUUCAUUGAAACUGCGGGUACCGCUCCCUGGCAUUUCACCGAAGAAUUCGCCGGUACCUGUCUUGCAGGGCAGAUUAUCGAGUUAAGCUCGUAAAUGGAGAUAAUCUCGUUAUAUGUAAACAUAGUAUAACGGACAAACAUAUAUGCGAUUUAAUGAGAAUCAAAAAUUAUUAAUAUGAGAUUGACAUUAAUAAAUAAUUGAAUAAACUAAAAUAAACAUAUUUUUUAAUUAUGAAAACUUUUUUUCGGUGUAGCUGCUUUGUUUACUUUUUGUUUCGCUACUUGCUUCGCUUCUUGUUCUUCUUAACUAGCAUUUGUAUAAUUUUGUGCGUGUGGUAGUUUGGUCGAUACUGCCCUAUAUCGUUUAGUUUUAUGA